rnacentral:pre_miRNA from 1 species
UUUAUUGCCGAUGCAGCAUCAUCAAGAUUCUCACCACCAAAAAGCUAUGGCAGUGAGAGAUAGAGGAGAGAGACGAAAUCACCACCUUGCAUUUCAUGUGAAUCUUGAUGAUGCUGCACCAGCAAACGA